rnacentral:lncRNA from 1 species
CACUCGAAUAUCACAUCUACAAUCGAAAUAUCACAAUCCACUCGAAAUAUUACAUCUAAGAUUUUAUCUCGCGAGUUUGUUUAUAUUGUCAUCAAUGAUAGGCGAAAAGGAUUCCCCCAUCGCAUGGAUAGGACACACAAUCUCACAUUGGCCACAACAGGUAUGUUUACUAGGUGACCCACAGGCUCACAAAUACCUAUCCACGUGUGGACUAGGUUUCACAAAGCUAUCCAUGUGCAGGUUCACCAUACACACUGAAGUUCAGCCACACACACACCUUCCCCUCCUCGAUUCAGACUAAACGAGUAAGGUACCGUGGUCCUUACACUCUACACUCUUUGAAAAUCUCUCUAAUUUCCAAUUCACUUAUUUCAUAUCUAAGAUAU